rnacentral:rRNA from 1 species
AUUGAACGCUGGCGGCAUGCCUAACACAUGCAAGUCGAACGGCAGCACAGUAAAGAUUUCGGUCUUUAUGGGUGGCGAGUGGCGGACGGGUGAGUAAUGCGUAGGAAUCUGUCCUGGAGAGUGGGAUAACCCGAGGAAACCCGGGCUAAUACUGCAUGAUAUCGAGAGAUCAAAGGCAGGGGACCCUUCGGGGCCUUGCGCUCUAGGCUGAGCCUACGUCGGAUUAGCUAGUUGGUGGGGUAAAGGCCUACCAAGGCGACGAUCCGUAGCUGGUCUGAGAGGAUGACCAGCCACACUGGGACUGAGACACGGCCCAGACUCCUACGGGAGGCAGCAGUGGGGAAUCUUGGACAAUGGGGGAGACCCUGAUCCAGCGAUGCCGCGUGUGUGAAGAAGGCCUUCGGGUUGUAAAGCACUUUAGUUGGGGAAGAAAAGUAAUGAGUGAAUAACUGAUUGCUCUGACGGUACCCAAAGAGUAAGCACCGGCUAACUCUGUGCCAGCCGCCGCCGUAA